CAGCCCAUGAAAUCGAACGCAGAUCUUCCUGAUGUGAGAUUUACAUAAAUAUGUCAAAGUCUCAACCUCAUGCUGCCCUCCCCCAUCCUCCUAAAGUUCAAUGGUGUGUGUUCUUCUAAUGGCCGCCUUCCCACUGGAGGUUUUGAUCCACAGCAAUUUAAAAGGAGGACAAAGCAAAACGGACAUCGGCGCAGAGUGAAGAACUGCCCUUCAUAAGGACACUAUGACAGCCAUAUAUAGUAAGUGAAGACUUUCUGUGUAUCUAAAAUUGCAUACAGCAC